rnacentral:rRNA from 1 species
UGCCAGCCGCCGCGGUAAUACGAAGGGACCUAGCGUAGUUCGGAAUUACUGGGCUUAAAGAGUUCGUAGGUGGUUGAAAAAGUUGGUGGUGAAAUCCCAGAGCUUAACUCUGGAACUGCCAUCAAAACUUUUCAGCUAGAGUUUGAUAGAGCAAAGCAGAAUUUCUAGUGUAGAGGUGAAAUUCGUAGAUAUUACACAGAAUACCGAUUGCGAAAGCAGGUUACUAACAAUUAACUGACGCUGAGGGACGAAAGCGUGGGUAGCGAACCGGAUUAGAUA